GGGGGGGGGGGGGGGGGGGGGGGGGGGGGGGGGGGCGGGGGGGGGGGCGGGGGGCGUGCUGCUCGGGUGUUGGCGGCGGGCGGGGGGGGAAGACGUGGAUAACCUACCUAUCCGGCUGGGAUAACUUCGGGAAACCGUAGCUAAUACCGGAUAAUAUUUUGAACCGCAUGGUUCAAAAGUGAAAGACGGUCUUGCUGUCACUUAUAGAUGGAUCCGCGCUGCAUUAGCUAGUUGGUAAGGUAACGGCUUACCAAGGCAACGAUGCAUAGCCGACCUGAGAGGGUGAUCGGCCACACUGGAACUGAGACACGGUCCAGACUCCUACGGGAGGCAGCAGUAGGGAAUCUUCCGCAAUGGGCGAAAGCCUGACGGAGCAACGCCGCGUGAGUGAUGAAGGUCUUCGGAUCGUAAAACUCUGUUAUUAGGGAAGAACAUAUGUGUAAGUAACUGUGCACAUCUUGACGGUACCUAAUCAGAAAGCCACGGCUAACUACGUG
rnacentral:rRNA from 1 species